CCUGGGUGGUUCAGCCGGUUAAGCGUCUGACUCCUGAUUUUGGCUCAGGACAUGAUGUCACAAUCGUGGGGUGUAGCCCCAUGUCUGGGCUCAGGGCGGAGUCUGCCUGAGAAUCUCUCUCCCUCUCUGCCCCUUGCCCACUCAUUCUCUCUCUCUCUCUCUCUCUCUCUCUCUCUCUCUCUCAAAAUAAUAACCUUAAAACAAUAAUAUACUCUAAUUCAGUCUAUCCAUUCAUCAUGCAACGUGUGAUCAAUCUUAAAAUAUAACAUAUUUUACAUUCUGGUUUUCUUACUAAGUCUUUGCAGGGCACUGUGUACGUUACAUUGUCAGCACACCUUGCUUCAAACUGGCCGGAUUUCAACUGCUCAACAGUCACGCAUGGCUAGUGGCUAUCCUGCUGGUCUGGCUGGCCUUUGGCUCUGAGAUCCAUGGGGCAGGGCCUGGUCUGGACUCCAGUAGGAACCUUCCUUGAUGAGUUGCAUUUCCCACGAAAUCCUGGGAGACAGCCACCCUGAAGUCGCUCUCACCAAGUGGGCAGAAUAAUCACCCCAAGGAUGUCUACAUCCCAACCCCUGCAACCUGCAUGACAUGUGUUACCUCACGUGGCGGAGGGACUUCCCAGAAGUGAUGAAGUAAAGGAUUUUGAGAUGGGGAGUUUUCCUGGAGUAUCCAGAUGGGCUCAGUGUAAUCACAAGUGUGUUUACAAGUGAGGGAGGGAGGCAGGCGGGUCAGAGAAGUCUGGAGGUGGUAGAGGCAGAGGCCGGGGGGUGUGAGUACUGACUUUAAGGAUGGAGCCCAGGACGGUGGGCGGCCUCUGUAGCGGGAAAGGACAAGGAAUCCGAUUCUCCCCAGAGCCUUCCGAAGGAACACUGCCCUCCUACACCUUGGUUUUAGUCCCGUGAGACCCAUUUCAGACUUCUGAUCUCUAAACUGUAAGAUAAUAAAUUUGUGUUGUUUGAAUCUA